rnacentral:rRNA from 1 species
CAGUAGCCGCGGUAAUACGAAGGGGGCUAGCGUUGUUCGGAAUAACUGGGCGUAAAGGGCGCGUAGGCGGAUCUUUAAGUCAGGGGUGAAAUCCCAAGGCUCAACCUUGGAACUGCCUUUGAUACUGGAGAUCUUGAGUCCGGGAGAGGUGAGUGGAACUGCGAGUGUAGAGGUGAAAUUCGUAGAUAUUCGCAAGAACACCAGUGGCGAAGGCGGCUCACUGGCCCGGUACUGACGCUGAGGCGCGAAAGCGUGGGGAGCAAACAGGAUUAGAUACCCGCGUAGUCCCUGUCUCUUAUAC